UGGGUAAUAUUGCACAAUGGGGGAAACCCGUGAUGCAGCGACGCCGCGUGAGUGAAGAAGUAUUUCGGUAUGUAAAGCUCUGUCAGCAGGGAAGAAAAUGACGGUACCUGACCAAGAAGCCCCGGCUAACUACGUGCC
rnacentral:rRNA from 1 species